rnacentral:rRNA from 1 species
CCUACGGGAGGCUGCAGUGGGGAAUAUUGGACAAUGGGCGCAAGCCUGAUCCAGCCAUGCCGCGUGAGUGAUGACGGCCUUAGGGUUGUAAAGCUCUUUCGCUCGGGACGAUAAUGACGGUACCGAGAUAAGAAGCCCCGGCUAACUUCGUGCCAGCAGCCGCGGUAAUACGAAGGGGGCUAGCGUUGUUCGGAAUUACUGGGCGUAAAGCGCGUGUAGGCGGGUCUUUAAGUCAGGGGUGAAAUGCCAAGGCUCAACCUUGGAACUGCCUUUGAUACUGGAGACCUUGAGUCCGGGAGAGGUGAGUGGAAUUGCGAGUGUAGAGGUGAAAUUCGUAGAUAUUCGCAAGAACACCAGUGGCGAAGGCGGCUCACUGGCCCGGAACUGACGCUGAGACGCGAAAGCGUGGGGAGCAAACAGGAUUAGAUACCCCAGUAGUC